ensembl:lncRNA
UUAUGAAGGAAAUGUGUACACACUGCACUCAUCAAGAGUCCAUCUAGGUCCAUUCAACCUAGCAUUUCAAAUCACUUUGACCUAAAUACAAUGGAUUUGGUUUAACUGUAUCUUUGAAAGGAUACCCUGAGUUCCCUGCCUAGUCCUAAAAAUGUCCACAGCAGCAUUUAGAAAAUAGUUAAUAAUCCUAGUUUAAGGAAAAUGGGUACGAUUUUCAAUGAAAGGCUCAGAAUGAAAUCCGGGUCAGAAUAAUUCUCAUUUUUCUCUUCUGAAGCUGAUCUAUAAGGCUGUGAAUAGCUGCUUCUGUCACUGUCCCUCCUUUAGUCAUUAGAAUUCUUGAUCUAAUGCCUUUUUUUAAAAAAAAAGAGAUGAGUGUAUUUUUCUGUGCUUCAUGUAACGUGCCAAAACAAUCAUGAGCCCUAGGACAAGCAGCUAGCCCAAGCGAUGAUACAGAAGCCGGCCUUUGAGUUGGACAGUUCCUCUUUUAAACUUCCUUUUCCACCAGCAGAUUGGGAGGGGGUGGUGGGGUCACAGAAAGCCGCCUCAUUCAGGUGAGGUUCACUGAGGCAGCCAUCUCAACACGCUUUUCCAGCCCUAAGGACCAGGCCUUUGGGAGUCGAGUCCUGCUGCCCAUCACCCGUUUUGAGAGAGAAAGGAUGCCUGCUUCUAAACAGCGGUAGGAGAGGCUCCUCAGGUUCAGCUUUCCAGAAAACACACACAAACAGGGAUACAUAUCUCUGAAGCUCUUUCGCAUAAGAAAAAUUCUCUUUUCCACCCCACCAGCAUGGUGACAACCCCUAGUGAGUUCUUGCAGAGUGUGAGCUGGUCCUCAGACACAAAAGUUUCAUCCGGAUGGGUCCUCGCCGGCCGGGGAGUCAGGAAUGGCAUUUGGGUUGUUCUGGCUGCCGUGAUCUGGGAGCUGCAGAAUUACUGGACGCCAGCAGCAUCGUGCUCUAGGGAUGCUGUUUCAUGUUAAGCCGUCAGCACCCUCCCCAGACUGUUGGAAGUGGGGAAUGAGAACAGCGGGUCCUGAGUGGGCCCUGGACAUCUGAGGCCAUGCAUGGAGCCUCCUGAGCGAAUGAGCAGACAUGCUCCGGGAGCUUACUAUAAUCCCAGAGGUCCUGGGGAGAAGGUCAGAUUCAGAAGCCCACCGGUUCCCCAUCUGGCUCAUGCAGUCACAAGGCCCUUGCGGAGGCCAUGACCCACACAACCACCAAAGCUGCCCCUUCUGAAGGCAAAGGCUCAGCUCAUAGCUAAGCUGAGGUAAGUAUCUCUAACCUGCUUCUUAUUUUAGGAUGUGUGUCUCUGUUAGUUAGGAUUUUCCCAAGAACAACAGGAUAUGAUUGUUGUUACUUCACUCAUAUCUGACUCUCUGUGACCCCUAUGGACUGUGGCCCACCAGGCUCCUCUAUCCAUGGGAUUCUUCAGGCAAGAAUACUGGAGUGGGUUGCCAUUUACUUCUCCAAGGGAUGUCCCUGACCCAGGGAGUGAACCCAGGUCUCCUGUUUGGCUGGUGAAUUAUUUACCACUGAGCCACCUGGGAAUCCUAUAGGAUAUGUAUCUAUCUGUAUACACAAACAGACUUAUUAUAAGGAAUUCACUCAUGCAGUUAUUUGGGCUGAGAAGUCCGCAGGUCGGCAGUCGGCAAGCUGGAGAUCUUGGAAGAGCUGAUGUUUCAGUCCAGCAUACAGGCUAGAAAAGGCCAAUGUCCUAACUCACGCACUCAGGCAGGAGGUUUUCUUUCUCUCUCUUUUUUUUAAUUUUUAAAAAUCAAUUAAUUAAUUUAUUUUUGGCUGUGCUGGGUCUUCCUUGUUGUGCUGGAGCACCUCGUUGCAGUGGCUUCUCUUGUUGCGGAGCACUGGCUCUGGGGCGCACAGGCUCAGAACUUGCAGUGGGCAGGCUUAGUUAUCCCAUGGCACGUGGAAUCUUCCUGGACCAGAGAUCAAACCUGUGUCUCCUGCAUUAGCAGGCGGACUCUCAACCACUGGACCACCAGGGACGUUGUAGGCUUUCCCUUUUAUUGGGCUUUUUGUUCUUUUCAGGGUUUCAGUUGAUUGCACGAGGGCCACCCACACUAGGAAGGGCAAUCUGUCAUACUUGGUCAACUGAUUGAAAUCUCAAAAUCUCAGCCAGAAACACCCAGAAAAAUGUUUAACCAGACAUCCGGGCAGCCCAUGACCCAGUCGACACAUAAAAUUAACCAUCCAAAAUUCCAAACCAUAUUUCCCAGCCUCGGAGAGACUGAGUUGGUCGAAGAUCUUGCCCAAACCAAGGAUGGCGCUCUGUGGGCUGAGGGACGAUCUGUGAAGGUCUGUAGGAUAGUCGCCUAAAGCAGGGACAGCAGCAAUGAGCAAGGAUGGUUAUGGCCUCUCUCCUGGAGAUAUAGACAGAAUCAGUCAAUUGGUUCCUAAAGGAGAAGCAAGGAGGCAUCCAGAGAGAAGUGGAGACCUCUGGGCAGUAGGGGAUUCAAGCUAAUGGGGAUGCCGUAGUGAAGACGCAGGAAUGCCUAAUGCCAGGGGGCCAGCAGGACAACAUGGAACCCAGAGCUGCCUUCCACGCUGAACGACCACCCAGAUCACCCUCUGUGGGGCCUGUAGUACAUUAGAUUCUGUCCACUCUCGUGUCCCUUAUUACCAAAUGGUUCCUGAACUAAAUCACAGAACCCCAGUUCUUAAGGUGAACUGCAUGAGUCUGCUCCUUACCAUCAAAUGAGGUGAAACUUUACCACACAUGAGACUCUAAUGCCAGUGAUGUGAAUCCACUUGACUCUUCAGAUUGACUGGAGUCCAAGUAGAAGAAGAAACUCACAAGGACACUUUCUGCUCCAUCUCCUUCCUCACUUGGCUGGAUGAGAGCUAUAUUAGAGUAAGAGACGCAGUCUCCAGAAGACUGGAGACCUUGUCAUUGUGUCGAUGCCACCGUUCACAGAUUUCAUUGGAUAGAGAAAUGUGCGGUCAGUUGUUUCCCCCCGUUUGCCAUUAUAGGCUUUCAGACACAGCUCACUAAUCUCAUCUUUGAUGUUCAGCACAGUCCUUGUAAGUCUUCCCUAAGUGGAGGGUUGGGUAGGUGGAAGUAAAAGAUGAGAUAAAUUCUUACCAUGGCAACAUUAGAGUCAUUAUAUAUGUUAGCUAGAGGAGCAUAAAAAAUGUACCCUGAUUCAGUUGAUAAUAUUGUUAAGCAUGUGAGCAGUAGGGUCCUAGUGCUUAGAAGAUGUCAGUGACUAAAAUAAAGAUCCCUGACAUGGGCA